UGCCCUAGUAACGGCGAGUGAAGCGGCAACAGCUCAAAUUUGAAAUCUGGCUCUCGGGCCCGAGUUGUAAUUUGUAGAGGAUGACUUUGAUGCGGUGCCUUCCGAGUUCCCUGGAACGGGACGCCAUAGAGGGUGAGAGCCCCGUCUGGUUGGAUGCCAAAUCUCUGUAAGUCUCCUUCGACGAGUCGAGUAGUUUGGGAAUGCUGCUCUAAAUGGGAGGUAUAUGUCUUCUAAAGCUAAAUACCGGCCAGAGACCGAUAGCGCACAAGUAGAGUGAUCGAAAGAUGAAAAGCACUUUGAAAAGAGAGUUAAAAAGUACGUGAAAUUGUUGAAAGGGAAGCGUUUAUGACCAGACUUGGGCUUGGUUAAUCAUCUGGGGUUCUCCCCAGUGCACUUUUCCAGUUCAGGCCAGCAUCAGUUUUCGCCGGGGGAUAAAGACUUCGGGAAUGUGGCUCCUCUCGGGGAGUGUUAUAGCCCGUUGUGUAAUACCCUGGUGGGGACUGAGGUUCGCGCUUCUGCAAGGAUGCUGGCGUAAUGGUCAUCAACGACCCGUCUUGAAACACGGACCAAGGAGUCGUCUUCGUAUGCGAGUGUUCGGGUGUCAAACCCCUACGCGUAAUGAAAGUGAACGCAGGUGAGAGCUUCGGCGCAUCAUCGACCGAUCCUGAUGUUCUCGGAUGGAUUUGAGUAAGAGCAUACGGGGCCGGACCCGAAAGAAGGUGAACUAUGCCUGUGUAGGGUGAAGCCAGAGGAAACUCUGGUGGAGGCUCGCAGCGGUUCUGACGUGCAAAUCGAUCGUCAAACAUGGGCAUGGGGGCGAAAGACUAAUCGAACCUUCUAGUAGCUGGUUUCCGCCGAAGUUUCCCUCAGGAUAGCAGUGUUGAACUCAGUUUUAUGAGGUAAAGCGAAUGAUUAGGGACUCGGGGGCGCUAUUUAGCCUUCAUCCAUUCUCAAACUUUAAAUAUGUAAGAAGCUCUUGUUGCUUAAUUGAACGUGAGCAUUCGAAUGUAUCAACACUAGUGGGCCAUUUUGUAGA
rnacentral:rRNA from 1 species